rnacentral:rRNA from 1 species
GUGAGGAAUUUUGCGCAAUGGGGGCAACCCUGACGCAGCGACGCCGCGUGGAGGACGAAGUCUUUCGGGAUGUAAACUCCUGUCAGUGGGGACGAUAAUGACGGUACCCACAGAGGAAGCACCGGCUAACUCCGUGCCAGCAGCCGCGGUAAGACGGAGGGUGCAAGCGUUGUUCGGAAUUACUGGGCGUAAAGCGUAUGUAGGCGGCAAGUUAAGUUCAAUGUUAAAGCCCACGGCUCAACCGAGGAGAUGCAUUGAAUACUGGCUAGCUAGAGGGUGUUAGAGGAAGACGGAAUUCCCAGUGUAGCGGUGAAAUGCGUAGAUAUUGGGAGGAACAUCGGUAGCGAAAGCGGUCUUCUGGGACAUACCUGACGCUGAGGUACGAAAGCGAGGGGAGCAAAUGGGAUUAGAAACCCGGGUAGUCC